UACGGAGGGUGCAAGCGUUAUCCGGGAUUCACUGGGUUUAAAGGGUGCGUAGGUGGGUCUGAAAGUCAGUGGUGAAAUCUCCCGGGCUUAACCUGGAAACUGCCAUUGAUACUUCAGGUCUGAAUUUUCUGGAGGUUAGCGGAAUAUGUCAUGUAGCGGUGAAAUGCUUAGAUAUACAUAGAACACCAAUUUGCGAAGGC
rnacentral:rRNA from 1 species